GUGGGGAAUAUUGGACAAUGGGGGGAACCCUGAUCCAGCCAUGCCGCGUGUGUGAAGAAGGCCUUCGGGUUGUAAACUGCUUUUGUACGGAACGAAACGGUCCUGGUUAAUACCUGGGGCUAAUGACGGUACCGUAAGAAUAAGCACCGGCUAACUACGUGCCAGCAGCCGCGGUAAUACGUAGGGUGCGAGCGUUAAUCGGAAUUACUGGGCGUAAAGCGUGCGCAGGCGGUGCUGUAAGACAGGCGUGAAAUCCCCGGGCUCAACCUGGGAAUUGCGCUUGUGACUGCAAGGCUGGAGUGCGGCAGAGGGGGAUGGAAUUCCGCGUGUAGCAGUGAAAUGCGUAGAUAUGCGGAGGAACACCGAUGGCGAAGGCAAUCCCCUGGGCCUGCACUGACGCUCAUGCACGAAAGCGUGGGGAGCAAACAGGAUUAGAUACCCGGGUAGUCC
rnacentral:rRNA from 1 species